CCCAAUGGCAAGGUCGAGGGGUAACAUUGUGCUUGCACAGAUGACGACCGGCGCACGGGUGCGUAACGCGUAUAGAACCUACCUUUUACAGAGGAAUAGCCUUUAGAAAUGAAGAUUAAUGCCUCAUAGUAUUGAGUAAUCGCAUGAUUAUUUAAUUAAAGAUUUAUCGGUAAAAGAUGGCUAUGCGUCCUAUUAGUUAGUUGGUAAGGUAACGGCUUACCAAGACAUCGAUAGGUAGGGGUCCUGAGAGGGAGAUCCCCCACACUGGUACUGAGACACGGACCAGACUCCUACGGGAGGCAGCAGUGAGGAAUAUUGGACAAUGGAGGAGACUCUGAUCCAGCCAUGCCGCGUGUAGGAAGAAUGCCCUAUGGGUUGUAAACUACUUUUAUACAGGAAGAAACACUGGUAUGUAUACCAGCUUGACGGUACUGUAAGAAUAAGGACCGGCUAACUCCGUGCCAGCAGCCGCGGUAAC
rnacentral:rRNA from 1 species